UCCGGUUUGUCACCGGCAGUCUCAUUAAAGUGCCCAACUGAAUGAUGGCAAUUAAUGACAAGGGUUGCGCUCGUUGCGGGACUUAACCCAACAUCUCACGACACGAGCUGACGACAGCCAUGCAGCACCUGUGUUCCGGCUCUCUUUCGAGCACCCCCACCUCUCAGCAGGGUUCCGGACAUGUCAAGGGUAGGUAAGGUUUUUCGCGUUGCAUCGAAUUAAUCCACAUCAUCCACCGCUUGUGCGGGUCCCCGUCAAUUCCUUUGAGUUUUAAUCUUGCGACCGUACUCCCCAGGCGGCGAACUUCACGCGUUAGCUGCGGUACUAAGAAAGUCUCCUUCCCCAACACCUAGUUCGCAUCGUUUAGGGCGUGGACUAC
rnacentral:misc_RNA from 1 species